GAUGAACGCUGGCGGCGUGCCUAAUACAUGCAAGUCGAGCGCGACUGAUUACACCGUUCUUCGGAACACCGUAAUCAUCGAGCGGCGGACGCGUGAGUAACACGUGCGCAACCUACCCUUAAGACUGGGAUAACCGCGGGAAACCGUGGCUAAUACUGGAUAAUACUUUUAUACAACGGUAUAGAAGUUGAAAGGUGGAUUUCUAUCACUUAAGGAUGGGCCUGCGGCGCAUUAGCUGGUUGGUAAGGUAACGGCUUACCAAGGCGACGAUGCGUAGCCGACCUGAGAGGGUGAUCGGCCACACUGGAACUGAGACACGGUCCAGACUCCUACGGGAGGCAGCAGUAGGGAAUCGUCCGCAAUGGGCGAAAGCCUGACGGAGCAACGCCGCGUGUGCGAAGAAGGUCUUCGGAUCGUAAAGCACUGUUGUUAGGGAAGAACGACAGUAAGAGUAACUGUUUACUGUGUGACGGUACUUAACCAGAAAGCCACGGCUAACUACGUG
rnacentral:rRNA from 1 species